UGAGGAAUUUUGCGCAAUAUUGGGAAACCCUGACGCAGCAACCCCGCGUGAGUGAAGAAGGCCCUUGGGUCGUAAAGCUCUGUCAAGUGGGAAAAAAGCUUACUGGUAAAUAGCCAGCAAGACUGAUGGUACCAUUGAAGGAAGCACCGGCUAACUCCGUGCCAGCAGCCGCGGUAAUACGGAGGGUGCAAGCGUUGUUCGGAAUUACUGGGCGUAAAGGGCGUGUAGGCGGUGUGGUAAGUCAGAUGUGAAAGCCCUGGGCUUAACCCAGGAAGUGCAUUUGAAACUGCCAUGCUUGAGUAUGGGAGAGGAGAGUGGAAUUCCCAGUGUAGAGGUGAAAUUCGUAGAUAUUGGGAGGAACACCCGUGGCGAAGGCGACUCUCUGGACCAAUACUGACGCUGAGGCGCGAAAGCGUGGGGAGCAAACAGGAUUAGAUACCCUGGUAGUCCACGCUGUAAACGAUGAGCACUAGGUGUAGCGGGUAUUGACCCCUGCUGUGCCGUAGCUAACGCAUUAAGUGCUCCGCCUGGGGAGUACGGCCGCAAGGCU
rnacentral:rRNA from 1 species